AGCUGGAACGUUGUGCGAGAGAAAUUCUUGGUUGGCUAGAUUAGAAACGAGUGUUAGAAAUAACACUGCAUCUGACUACCUGAACGUAGUUAUCGGUUGAUUAGAAUCUACACAAGGGCUAGAAGAACACUAAACGAAAUAAAAAUCUACACCCAGAACAACCUGGUGUUUAUUCGUGUUUCGGAAAACGCACCCUAGCCGUCAACUCAAUUCAACA